GCAUUCAGCUUUCUCAACAGACAGUUCGAGCCCUGCUCCGUGCCUCAGCUGCCUGAAAAGUCACAGUGGAGCCAGGUGAAUUCUGCCGGGAUCUUCACAGGGCACCACUGGCGUCCGCACUUGACAACACCUUCCUGGUGAGCUCUCUCCUCUCUGAAAUGCCAGAGGUGGACCCGAUGGUUGCAUCAGGUUGAGGUGAUGUCUCCUCCCUGACGACCACGACCCAAAGGAACAGCAAGGUUGUUCUGGGCAUUUCCUGUCCCUGGAUAGGUGAAGGAAGAAUGCUGCCAUGGUUCUGGAAUAGUUAGUGAACCGUUUUAAUUAUUACCGAUUUUAAGAACAGUGCAUCCUGGGUUAGACAGGACCAAUGCUAAGACAACGGCAGGAAAGUGUGAACCCGGCCCUCGCCCUCUGUCAAAGGGUUUAUUAAAGUUUCCCCUCCAUGGGCCCUUAGCCUGAGAAACUGUUACAGUUUUUUGUUUGUUUGUUUGUUUGUUUGUUUGGGGGUUGUUUGUUUGUUUGUUUUUGUCUUUUGAGAGACAAGGUUUCUCUG